rnacentral:rRNA from 1 species
CAGCAGCCGCGGUAAUACGAAGGGUGCAAGCGUUAAUCGGAAUUACUGGGCGUAAAGCGUGCGUAGGUGGUGGUUUAAGUCCGUUGUGAAAGCCCUGGGCUCAACCUGGGAAUUGCAGUGGAUACUGGGUCACUAGAAUGUGGUAGAGGAUAGUGGAAUUCCCGGUGUAGCGGUGAAAUGCGUAGAGAUCGGGAGGAACAUCAGUGGCGAAGGCGGCCAUCUGGGACAACACUGACGCUGAGGCACGAAAGCGUGGGGAGCAAACAGGAUUAGAUACCCGGGUAGUCCCUGUCUCUUAUAC